rnacentral:pre_miRNA from 1 species
ACAACAACAUUCGGACCGUCGGUCUACCGAGCAAUAUCACCUGCUCGGUGGAAGAUCUUCCCUUUGUCGUUUAAG